rnacentral:lncRNA from 1 species
GAAACAUUGCGUUGAACCACUAAUUGGCUUGUUUAGUGAUCUUUGGGGUUAGAAUAGGUUAGAGUACAUUACAUUUGAUUGAUUACAAGUUCUAGAUAUGCAUGAAGAGUGUUUAGAAGAGUGUAGAAAGACUUGCUGAAAUUUGGGCCGAAAUGGGCUAAGAACCUACAACCAUUGCUUUCAAGCAUUAAAUGGCUUGUCUACUGUUUUUUGGGGUUAGAAUAUGUUAGAAUACAAUAAUUUUGAUUGAUUACAAGUGCUAGAGCAUUAUGAAGAGUGUUUAGAAGUUUGGAGAAAGACUUGUUGAAAUUUGGUCCCAAAUAGGCUAAGAACUCGGAAACAUUGCGUUGAACUACUAAAUGGCUUGUUUAGU